rnacentral:ncRNA from 1 species
GAUUCCCACUGUCCCUGUCUACUAUCCAGCGAAACCACAGCUAAGGGAAUAGGCUUGGCAGAAUCAGCGGGGAAAGAAGACCUUGUUGAGCUUGACUCUAGUCCGACUUUGUGAAAUGACUUGAGAGG